rnacentral:rRNA from 1 species
AAAGUCCGGCUACAGAGGGUGAUAGCCCCGUACGGGAAAUUGAGUCGACAGUACUAAGGCUGCGAGAAGUAGAGCGGGACACGUGAAAUUCUGCUCGAAGAUGGGGGGACCAUCCUCCAAGGCUAAAUACUCGUAAUCGACCGAUAGCGAACCAGUACUGUGAAGGAAAGGCGAAAAGAACCCCGGGAGGGGAGUGAAAUAGAUCCUGAAACCGCAUACAUACAAACAGUAGGAGCCCGCAAGGGUGACUGCGUACCUUUUGCAUAAUGGGUCAGCGACUUACGUUCAAUGGCAAGCUUAACCGAGUAGGGGAGGCGCAGCGAAAGCGAGUCCGAACAGGGCGACAUGAGUCGUUGGGCGUAGACCCGAAACCAGAUGAUCUAUCCAUGGUCAGGUUGAAGGUGUGGUAACACACACUGGAGGGCCGAACCGACUAGUGUUGCAAAAUUAGCGGAUGAGCUGUGGAUAGGGGUGAAAGGCUAAACAAAUCUGGAGAUAGCUGGUUCUCCCCGAAAACUAUUGAGGUAGUGCCUCGUGUAUGGCUCCAGGGGGUAGAGCACUGUUAUGGCUAGGGGGACAUGGCGUCUUACCAAACCAUGGCAAACUCCGAAUACUUGGAAGUCUGAGCACGGGAGACAGAGCACCGGGUGCUAACGUCCGGACUCAAAAGGGAAACAACCCAGACCGCCGGCUAAGGUCCCUAAUAUUGACUAAGUGGAAAACGAAGUGGGAAGGCUAAGACAGUCAGGAAGUUGGCUUAGAAGCAGCCAUCCUUCAAAGAAAGCGUAAUAGCUCACUGAUCGAGUCUUCCUGCGCGGAAGAUGUAACGGGGCUAAGUCAAUAACCGAAGCCGCGGAUUCGCAGCAAUGCGAGUGGUAGGGGAGCGUUCUGUAAGCCUGCGAAGGCGGAUCUGCGAGGACCGCUGGAGGUAUCAGAAGUGCGAAUGCUGACAUGAGUAACGUUAAAGCGGGUGAAAAGCCCGCUCGCCGCAAGCCCAAGGUUUCCUGCUCUACGUUCAUCGGAGCAGGGUGAGUCGGCCCCUAAGGUCAGGCUGAGAAGCGUAGCUGAUGGGAAGCUGGUUAAUAUUCCAGCACCGAUUUCAAGUGCGAAGGGGGGACGGAGUCCUGAAGGUCAUCCGGGUGUUGGAUAUCCCGGUUUACGAGCGUAGGAGGUUGACAGGCAAAUCCGUCAACGGAUCUCCAAGGCGAAGGAUCGAGGUUGAGAGAUCAACUGAAGUGACUGAAUGGGCUUCCAGGAAAAGCCUCUAAGCAUCAGCUUGGAAUUGACCGUACCGCAAACCGACACUGGUGGGCGAGCUGAAUAUGCUCAGGCGCUUGAGAGAACUCAGGAGAAGGAACUCGGCAAAUUGACACCGUAACUUCGGGAUAAGGUGUGCCUUUGUAGUGUGAAGGGAGAAACACCCCGAGCAUGAAGAGGCCUCAGAGAAUCGGUGGCUGCAACUGUUUACUAAAAACACAGCACUCUGCAAAGAUGAAAGUCGACGUAUAGGGUGUGAUGCCUGCCCGGUGCUGGAAGAUUAAUUGAUGGGGUGCAAGCUCCUGAUCGAAGUCCCAGUAAACGGCGGCCGUAACUAUAACGGUCCUAAGGUAGCGAAAUUCCUUGUCGGGCAAGUUCCGACCUGCACGAAUGGCAUAAUGAUGGCCACACUGUCUCCUCCUGAGACUCAGUGAAGUUGAAAUGUUUGUGAUGAUGCAAUCUCCCCGCGGCUAGACGGAAAGACCCCAUGAACCUUUACUGCAGCUUUGCAUUGGACUUUGAACCGAUCUGUGUAGGAUAGGUGGGAGGCAGUGAAGCUAGGACGCCAGUCUUAGCGGAGCCAACCUUGAAAUACCACCCUGAUUUGUUUGAGGUUCUAACCUAGGAGCGUGAUCCGCUUCGGGGACCGUGCAUGGCAGGCAGUUUGACUGGGGCGGUCUCCUCCUAAAGGGUAACGGAGGAGUGCGAAGGUACGCUAGGUACGGUCGGAAAUCGUGCUGAUAGUGCAAUGGCAAAAGCGUGCUUGACUGCGAGA